rnacentral:rRNA from 1 species
GCCUGGUAGUGGGGGAUAACGUUCCGAAAGGAACGCUAAUACCGCGUACGUCCUACGGGAGAAAGCAGGGGACCUUCGGGCCUUGCGCUAUCAGAUGAGCCUAGGUCGGAUUAGCUAGUUGGUGAGGUAAUGGCUCACCAAGGCGACGAUCCGUAACUGGUCUGAGAGGAUGAUCAGUCACACUGGAACUGAGACACGGUCCAGACUCCUACGGGAGGCAGCAGUGGGGAAUAUUGGACAAUGGGCGAAAGCCUGAUCCAGCCAUGCCGCGUGUGUGAAGAAGGUCUUCGGAUUGUAAAGCACUUUAAGUUGGGAGGAAGGGCGUUUGGCUAAUAUCCAGGCGUUUUGACGUUACCGACAGAAUAAGCACCGGCUAACUUCGUGCCAGCAGCCGCGGUAAUACGAAGGGUGCAAGCGUUAAUCGGAAUUACUGGGCGUAAAGCGCGCGUAGGUGGUUCGUUAAGUUGGAUGUGAAAGCCCCGGGCUCAACCUGGGAACUGCAUCCAAAACUGGCGAGCUAGAGUACGGUAGAGGGUGGUGGCAUUUCCUGUGUAGCGGUGAAAUGCGUAGAUAUAGGAAGGAACACCAGUGGCGAAAGCGACCACCUGGACUGAUACUGACACUGAGGUGCGAAAGCGUGGGGAGCAAACAGGAUUAGAUACCCUGGUAGUCCACGCCGUAAACGAUGUCAACUAGCCGUUGGAAUCCUUGAGAUUUUAGUGGCGCAGCUAACGCAUUAAGUUGACCGCCUGGGGGAGUACGGCCGCAAGGUUAGAAACUCACAUGGAAUUGACGGGGGCCCGCACAAGCGGUGGGAGCAUGUGGUUUAAUUUCGAAGCAACGCGAAGAACCUUACCUGGCCUUGACAUGCUGAGAACUUUCCAGAGAUGGAUUGGUGCCUUCGGGAGCUCAGAACACAGGUGCUGCAUGGCUGUCGUCAGCUCCUGUCGUUGAGAUGCUGGGUUAAAGUCCCGUAACGAAGCGCAACCCUUCGUCCUUACUUACCAGCAACGUUAUGGU